rnacentral:tRNA from 1 species
GGAGAGAUGGCCGAGUGGUUCAAGGCGUAGCAUUGGAACUGCUAUGUAUACUUUUUACCGAGGGUUCGAAUCCCUUUCUCUCC